rnacentral:rRNA from 1 species
GAUAGAGGAAAGCAGAAUUUCUAGUGUAGAGGUGAAAUUCGUAGAUAUUAGAAAGAAUACCAAUUGCGAAGGCAGCUUUCUGGAUCAUUACUGACACUGAGGAACGAAAGCAUGGGUAGCGAAGAGGAUUAGAUACCCUCGUAGUCCAUGCCGUAAACGAUGUGUGUUAGACGUUGGAAAUUUAUUUUCAGUGUCGCAGGGAAACCGAUAAACACACCGCCUGGGGAGUACGACCGCAAGGUUAAAACUCAAAUGAAUUGACGGGGACCCGCACAAGUAGUGGAGCAUGUGGUUUAAUUCGAAGAUACGCGCAGAACCUUACCAACACUUGACAUGUUCGUCGCGACUCUAAGAGAUUAGAGUUUUCGGUUCGGCCGGACGAAACACAGGUGCUGCAUGGCUGUCGUCAGCUCGUGUCGUGAGAUGUUGGGUUAAGUCCCGCAACGAGCGCAACCCUCACUUUUAGUUGCCAUCAUUAAGUUGGGCACUCUGAAAGAACUGCCAGUGAUAAGCUGGAGGAAGGUGGGGAUGACGUCAAGUCCUCAUGGCCCUUACGUGUUGGGCUACACACGUGCUACAAUGGCAUCUACAACAGGAAGCAAAACGGCAACGUUAAGCAAAUCCCGAAAAGAUGCCUCAGUUCGGAUUGCACUCUGCAACUCGAGUGCAUGAAGCUGGAAUUACUAGUAAUCGUGGAUCAGCGUGCCACGGUGAAUGCGUUCCCGGGUCUUGUACACACCGCCCGUCACACCAUGGGAGUUGGUUCUACCUUAAGGCAAGGUUUUAAACCCUUGACCACGGUAUAGUCAGCGACUGGGGUGAAGUCGUAACAAGGUAACCGUA